GGAUGCGAUCAUACCAGCACUAAAGCACCGGAUACCAUCAGAACUCCGAAGUUAAGCGUGCUUGGCCGAGAGUAGUACUAGGAUGGGUGACCUCCUGGGAAGUCCUCGUGUUGCAUUCC
rnacentral:rRNA from 1 species